rnacentral:sRNA from 1 species
AUAUCUCUCUGUACGGGAAGGAUGAGAAGCUUCUACCAGGGUUCGAUUCGAGCGCAGCGAGAAAGCGUUGCCGCAGGCAACGACCCGAAGGGCGAAGCGCGCAGCGC